CUUUUUAGGGCUGCACUGGCAGCAUAUGAAAGUUCCCAGGCUAGGGGUCAAAUCAGAGCUGCAGCUGCCAGCCUACACCACAACCACAGCAACUCAGGAUCCGAGCCCCAUCUGUGACCUACACCACAGCUCAUGGCAAUGGUGGAUUGUUAACCCAGGGAGCGAGGGCAGGGAUCCAACCCUCAUUCUCAUGGAUACUAGCUGGGUUCGAUUUCCACUGAGUCACAGUGGAAACUCCACCCGGGAAAAAAAAUUGGGGUAAUUAAUUUGAACCCGAUGGCUAAAAUACUGAUAGAACAAAACUGGGCCUAAAAAGAUCGUCUCAGUAGACUCAGUCAGGCUCAAGUUUCAUCAGAUUCUUGGUCAAGGUUUAAAAGCUUUUGAGCACACCCACCUCAUCCCUCCGGAAUCUCCUCCCCCUUGCAGAGGCUGCUCCUGGGACUGCCAGAGACACCAGCCAAGGGUGUUCUUCGCUCUCCCUAGAGACCCGGGCCCCCUCCCCCUCCUCCCCUGGUCGGGGUCCUUCCCGGUAGCACUUAUCACAGUUAUCUUGCUUCUCUUCUCCCCCUGCUACUCCACCAGAAUGUGACUUCCCAGGAGAGCGGGAACCCUGCUGUCUAGUUUAUCAGUGUGUCCAGCACGGGACACAGGGCCCGGGACCCAGGAGAUAGGCAAAUUCUAUGAAUGAGGGGCUACAACAAUACAGACAAAGGUUGCGGUGGAGCGAUUCUCACGGGCUCCAGGGAGGAGCCCAUGCAAAGGAUGCUCUCAGCCUGCUUGCUAGGCUGCCCUAUGCCAAUCCAGGGUUCUGUUUUUUUUUGUUUUGUUUUGUUUUGUUUUUGUGUGUGUGUCUUUUUGCCAUUUCUUGGGCCGCUCCCGCGGCAUAUGGAGAUUCCCAGGCUAGGGGUCCAAUCGGAGCCAUAGCCACCAGCCUACACCAGAGCCACAGCAACUCGGGAUCCGAGCUGCGUCUGCAACCUACACCACAGCUCACGGCAACGCCAGAUCCUUAACCCACUGAGCAAGGCCAGGGAUCGAACCCGCAACCUCAUGGUUCCUAGUCGGAUUCGCUAACCACUGCGCCACGACAGGAACUCCCAGGAUUCUAAGAAAGACCGUAACCGGUCAAAGUUCAAACCGCUCUCAAAUUUAAGGUAUG
rnacentral:lncRNA from 1 species